UCCAGGGUAGCCUAGUGGACAUGGCAUCUGCCCGGUAAGCGACACUGUGGGUUUGAUUCCCAUCCCUGGAC